ensembl:lncRNA
CAACACUGUGCCAUCUCAUUUCCCAGCUCUACGCAGGAUUAAUGUUGCCUUCGACUCGGCUAGGUUUAAAUUUCAUCUCCUUUUAUUUUGCUGCUUGGAGAAAUCAGUCGUUUGUAUUUAUUUUAUGAGCCUUUUACUUUGUGAGAUUUAUUGUUCUCCCCUUCUCUCCCUCUUUUUAUUUGUUAUUUUCCAUGGGGUUUGCUUUUAAAGAUUUCCCCCCUUUUGGUGUAUAUUUCAGAUUCAAAUUAGAGCAAUUAUUACGUUGAGGUUUUUUUGGAGGGGGGGGGGGAAUAAAUGAGACUGCUGGGUGGAGGGAUCAACGGUUAUGGCAAUAGGGAGGGAGAGUGCAGUUAUGAAAAUAAACGAAAAGGACGUUUUCUUAAGGAGGGGCAGUGUGAGUGGUGGUUGACAUCACUCUGACAACACACUCACUGAGAGACUAUCCCUGUUUUGAGACAUCACAUCUUAAACACUACUGUGCUAGGUUAAGCUAUGGCCACCUGGGGGCGCUGGGGCUGCUGGUGGUUUCCUUUCUAGAUAUAGAUAUACUGUAUUACCCAACAGCAGUUACUGCUUAAGACUUUUGUAGGCAUGGAGGACAUUGAUUUGAACACAACCAGGUGGGUGAAAGUUUGAGUGGACUUCCCAACAACACUGAGAACAUGUGAGCCCUGAAUGCCCAACACUGUGAACCUAUGGGCCAGCUACCAAGGGCCCUAUUCAACUUGUAUCCAAAAGGUUCCCAGGUAAGGUAAAAACGUGCUUUCUUACAGUGCAAGAAGAAUACAAGUUUGACUCAACCGUGGGAUCCUCUGGAUAUAGGUUUUGGUUGAGUAGAGCCUCUUGUUUCAAUCCCUCUGUUCUUUCACCCCUGGUCAACCAGGUUGUUUUUCAACCCAAAUCCUCAUUGCUGUGCUGCCCUCACUAUUUGUAAUGCUUACAUUUUUUUUGUGUCAUUUUUAAUUAUUUGUUAAAUUAAUUGAAAUGUGCUGGUAAUCACAAAGAUAUGUAUGGCAACUUUUUUUGUUCCUCUCUCAAAUAAAUGCAUGUAAUGACUAAUGAAG